GACGAACGCUGGCGGCGUGCUUAACACAUGCAAGUCGAACGGAAAGGCCCUGCUUGCAGGGUACUCGAGUGGCGAACGGGUGAGUAACACGUGGGUGAUCUGCCCUGCACUUCGGGAUAAGCCUGGGAAACUGGGUCUAAUACCGGAUAGGAGCCAUUUUUAGUGUGAUGGUUGGAAAGUUUUUUCGGUGUAGGAUGAGCUCGCGGCCUAUCAGCUUGUUGGUGGGGUAAUGGCCUACCAAGGCGGCGACGGGUAGCCGGCCUGAGAGGGUGGACGGCCAAAUUGGGACUGAGAUACGGCCCAGACUCCUACGGGGGGCAGCAGUGGGGAAUAUUGCACAAGGGGCGCAAGCCUGAUGCAGCGACGCCGCGGGGGGGAUGACGGCCUUCGGGUUGGAAACUCCUUUCGCUAGGGACGAAGCUUUUUGUGACGGUACCUAGAUAAGAAGCACCGGCUAACUACGUG
rnacentral:rRNA from 1 species